rnacentral:tRNA from 3 species
GGGCGAUUAGCUCAUUUGGCUAGAGCGCAGCAUUGACGUUGCUGAGGUGAUAGGUUCGAAUCCUAUAUCGCCCACCA